AAGUCGUAACAAGGUAACCGUAGGUGAACCUGCGGUUGGAUCAUUAGAAAAUUUAGACGUUCAGCUAGUGCAGUUGAAAAACAGCCUAGCCGGCCUUCAUGGACUGUCGCUGUAACCUCGCAUUGUUUGUUAGCCCGAGUCUUUCUUUAUUGGAUGAGCUGGGGAGUAAUCACAUCGCUUUGCGGCUUACGAAUGCCUUCCAUGAUGUCGCGUCAAACUCCUAUGUGCAACGUUUGGGUGUUGGUUGGCAAAGCAUGAGGUUUUCAAAAUCUCAUGCCGGAAAACCAUCUCCCAUUCCACUAUUUUUAUAAUUUUGUCUAACUUAAUUUAAUAUAUAAUAUUAAAACAACUUUUGGCAACGGAUCUCUUGGCUCUC
rnacentral:misc_RNA from 1 species